rnacentral:rRNA from 1 species
AUUGAACGCUGGCGGCAUGCCUUACACAUGCAAGUCGAACGGCAGCACGGGAGCAAUCCUGGUGGCGAGUGGCGAACGGGUGAGUAAUAUAUCGGAACGUGCCCAGUCGUGGGGGAUAACGCAGCGAAAGCUGUGCUAAUACCGCAUACGAUCUACGGAUGAAAGCGGGGGAUCGCAAGACCUCGCGCGAUUGGAGCGGCCGAUAUCAGAUUAGCUAGUUGGUGAGGUAAAGGCUCACCAAGGCGACGAUCUGUAGCUGGUCUGAGAGGACGACCAGCCACACUGGAACUGAGACACGGUCCAGACUCCUACGGGAGGCAGCAGUGGGGAAUUUUGGACAAUGGGCGCAAGCCUGAUCCAGCAAUGCCGCGUGCAGGAUG